CCAAGUGUAUUUGGGCAGAACAACAAUAAACUCUCAUGAUGGACAUAACACAUAUGACUGAGGGCCCCGAACAAUUCUACCUCAGGCUCAUUUUCCAUGUUAAUGAUCUUGUUUAACUUCUUUGAAUUUUUGGACAUAAUAAUCCUUCCACCCUCUUCAACUUAUACCUCCUCAUUUGAAUAAUUUUCACGAUGUCUGCUAGCAUAGUCAAAAUUGAUUUCCCUAUCUUCUAAGAAAAUCUUAUUGAAACACUCGCACAAGUUGUUCAAGAGAAUGACACUUUUGGAUUUAGUUAAGAAAUGAGACUUACUCCACUCUGAUAGGUCCUUUUUCAUUAACCAUUUAUAGCCACGUUCACUGAACUUCUUUAUCUCCUCUAUCCAAAAUUUGUAAUCAACAACUGUUGUGGAUUUAGCAGCUCUCCAUAAGUAGUCUUUAAGAGUUUUGUCCUUGAAGUCUUUCCUAAAGAAGUUCGUGUACAUGUGUCGUGCACAAUACAUAUAUUUAGCUCGAGGAUAGAUAGCACCAAUCGCAUUUUGUAACGCUUUUUGCCUAUUAGUCAUAAACGUCCAUUCAUUGUUGUUAUCAAUUUGAAGAUCUUCUUCCAAAUGCCUAAGGAACAAACCCCAUGUAGACAUAUUCUUCCUUUCCACAAUAGCAUAUGCAAUGGGAUAUAUACAAUCGUUCGCAUCUAAGCCAACCAAAGCUUUCUUUCAAGAAACAACCAUCAAAACCUAUUAAUGACCAAAAGUUGUAGAGAAAACAUUUUUUACAUGCUUCUAAGCAUACAUAUAUGCCUUAAAAUUUCGAAUCCUUAACCACAAUUAUAAUCGUAGACCUAGGAUUUGCUCUUAUCACUUCUGCAGCGUAUGACUGUAGUAGCCCAAAUUGAUUGUUCAUCUGAUCUUUCUAUCAACAAUCUAGUACGUUUCCUAGCCCUACAUACAGUAAUCCUAUUAAUUUUCAGCUUCAAAUCAUCUUUGACUUCUUACAAAAAUUACUAGUUUUCCAAUCGGGAUCAAUCUUAAAUCUCUCCAAGUAUUUCUAAACAAGAUACUUAUAAGUACAGUGCCUAUUUGUGUCAUCUCUAUUGUAUGCAUAUAGGAGUGAUUGACUUUAUUUGUACAUAUCUUUCCUUUUUGGUCCACGAAGCCCAUACCCUCCAUUUACAUCCUGAUUUACACAUCGCUUGCUUUUG
rnacentral:lncRNA from 1 species